rnacentral:rRNA from 1 species
GAUUGAACGCUGGCGGCAGGCUUAACACAUGCAAGUCGAGCGGAGAUGAGGUGCUUGCACCUUAUCUUAGCGGCGGACGGGUGAGUAAUGCUUAGGAAUCUGCCUAUUAGUGGGGGACAACAUUCCGAAAGGAAUGCUAAUACCGCAUACGCCCUACGGGGGAAAGCAGGGGAUCUUCGGACCUUGCGCUAAUAGAUGAGCCUAAGUCGGAUUAGCUAGUUGGUGGGGUAAAGGCCUACCAAGGCGACGAUCUGUAGCGGGUCUGAGAGGAUGAUCCGCCACACUGGGACUGAGACACGGCCCAGACUCCUACGGGAGGCAGCAGUGGGGAAUAUUGGACAAUGGGCGGAAGCCUGAUCCAGCCAUGCCGCGUGUGUGAAGAAGGCCUUUUGGUUGUAAAGCACUUUAAGCGAGGAGGAGGCUACUUAGAUUAAUACUCUAGGAUAGUGGACGUUACUCGCAGAAUAAGCACCGGCUAACUCUGUGCCAGCAGCCGCGGUAAUACAGAGGGUGCGAGCGUUAAUCGGAUUUACUGGGCGUAAAGCGUGCGUAGGCGGCUGAUUAAGUCGGAUGUGAAAUCCCUGAGCUUAACUUAGGAAUUGCAUUCGAUACUGGUCAGCUAGAGUAUGGGAGAGGAUGGUAGAAUUCCAGGUGUAGCGGUGAAAUGCGUAGAGAUCUGGAGGAAUACCGAUGGCGAAGGCAGCCAUCUGGCCUAAUACUGACGCUGAGGUACGAAAGCAUGGGGAGCAAACAGGAUUAGAUACCCUGGUAGUCCAUGCCGUAAACGAUGUCUACUAGCCGUUGGGGCCUUUGAGGCUUUAGUGGCGCAGCUAACG